AGUAUGCUGGGAAUAAAAGAUUUCAUAGGAAAUCUGAGAACUUUACAAUCAAAUCCUCUUAACAUAUCACACUACCAGACAAGAGUACAUAAACAAAACCCAAGUUGCACAAAGCAAGAUAAAGCACCCCACUAAUUAAACCAACAUUAACAAAUUAUUACAACGUCAUUAUCUUAGUACUAAACAAUCUUUUCUUCCCAUUCCCAUUAAUUAGUGUUGUAUUAAUACUGGUCUCAUCAAACAGUUGCUAUUGGGCCCAAGUUGACAGCAGUUUCCACAGCCUUCAUUGCUUCAAACCUUGGCUCUUUAGCUUGGAAUUUGAGACCUGCAUAUAAUUUCAUAUAAUCCUCAAAAACAAAUUUGGGAUACAUUAUUGUGUUCUCUUUUUCUUCCUUCUCCAGCAAUUCUGGUGCUGGAUAGAUGACAGCAUCACUCCCCGGAUUGUAGAACGAAGCCAAGGACAUUCUGUUUCCAUCAGGCUGAGCAAUCACCCUGUGCUCCACACUCUUGUAUUUUCCAUUAGUAAUCACCUCGAGUUGGUCACCGAGGUUGAUGACAAUGGAGUGGCGCAUCGGUGGAACAUCAAUCCAUUUGUCAUCUUUGAGUAGUUGGAGACCACUGACUUUGUCAUCUUGGAAUAGAAGGAUGAUGCCACCAGCAUCUGUGUGAGCCCUCAGCCCUUUAAUGAGAUCAGGCUUAGGACAUGGUGGGUAGUUGCUAACUUUGGUGCCAAAAGUAGGACCCUUUGAGCCAUAAAACACUUUCUUCAAGUAACCUUGCUCUAGUCCUAGAUUUUCACACAGCAAAUCCAACAGUUGCUCUGCUAGUUUCUCCAGUUUAUCAGCAAACUCCUUCAUGAUUUUCCUAUAAUCAUCUUCAAGAUCAGGAACUUCUGAAAUGUUUGAAACAGGAAGAUGUUUCAAGAAGAAAGUACUUUCCCAGUCCAAAUCAUCAAUUUCAGUCUGAACACCUUCAAGGCCUUUACUUGCCACCAUUUCCUUGAACCUUUGUUCCAUACACUUCUUGUAAUGUUCCUUUGUGAACUUCUCUACUGUGUCCAGAAGCUCAUGAGAGAUCCCAUGAUUAAUCACCUCAAAGAAUCCCCAGUUCUCACAAGCAUCUUUUAUUUUCUCCAAUGCUGCAGCCCUUUUUUCAGUGUUAAGCAUCUCCAUGUUAACUACUGGGAAAGUCUCCAUCUUUUUCUAUUAUACUAUUUCUCCCUCACACUUCAAAGCUCUUAAUUAAUUUCUGUGCAAGAUGGAUAUGAAUGGGUAUUUGAAGGGGGUAUUUAUAAGACUUUUGUUAAGGUCAUUCAGAAAAAGAAAAAAAAAUAUUUUAUUUUUCAUAAAAAUAUAGAAACACAAGUAAAUAAACAAUGAAAUCUAGGAAGUAAGUAGAGUAGUGGG
rnacentral:misc_RNA from 1 species